rnacentral:rRNA from 1 species
UACGUAGGUGGCCUUGUAAGUCAGUGGUGAAAUCCUGCCGCUUAACGGUAGAACUGCCAUUGAUACUGCAAGGCUUGAGUAUAGUUGAGGUAGGCGGAAUGUGUAGUGUAGCGGUGAAAUGCUUAGAUAUUACACAGAACUCCGAUUGCGAAGGUAGCUUACUAAACUAUAACUGACACUGAGGUACGAAAGCGUGGGGAGCGAACAGGAUUAGAUACCCUGGUAGUCC